UAGUCAUAUCAGUUUUGACAUAGCCUGGACAAACACAGUUGAUGAGAAAACUUGGGUAUUUCUUGGCCAAUAUUCUUGUGUAAGCAUUCACUGCUGCUUUUGAUAGUGUAUAUGCAGGUAAAAUUAGAGGCCAGUUUUUAGUUUCCAGCAAACCCUCCUUUAAAUCUUGCAAAAAAGCAUUCAAAACAUCAUCCACUCUGUCUUCUGUUAGAUUCUCAGCAUCACUUAACACUCCGAGGCCAGUUUUUACUUUCCAACAAACCAUCCUUCAAAUCUUGCAGAAAAGUAUUCAGAACCUCAUCUACUCUGUCUUCUGUUAGAUUCUCAGCAUCACUCAACACUCCUACAGCCCAUUCAUUGCGUACAAGCUGAAACAACAUUAAUUGUGCCAAAAUGAAAACAAUAUAAUCAGAAGAUCGCUUUGUCUAUUCUUUAAAUUUGUAAGACUGUAUAGGGGUGUAUACAAGAUUUUAGUUAAGUUUGGUAACUAGUAAAGUUGCUACCAUGUGACCAGGAGGUCACUGUUUCGAGCCGUGAAAACAGACUCUUACAAAAAUGUCAGGGUAUAGCUGCGUACAAUAAAUCAUCAUGGUCCAGCCCUUCCCCGGACCCUGCGCAUAGCGAGAGCUUAAUGCACCAGACUGUUCUUUUUAUGAGCAGAAGAAGAAACU
rnacentral:lncRNA from 1 species